rnacentral:lncRNA from 1 species
GUUUGGACACAGACACUCAGAAGAGCACCAUGAAAAAGCACAGAGGCACAGACACAUAGAGAAGACAGCCAUGUGAUGACGAAGGCAGAGAUUGGGGUGAUGCUUCUAGAAGACAAAGAAUGUCAAGGAUUGCUGGGCAACCACCAGAGGCCAGAAAGAGCAACAGAAAAUGGGCUAAGACAUGGAGCAAGGGGCAGAACGACUCUUGAAGAUGCUGAGCAACUUCUGCUUAUAAAGUUGAUUCACUGACUGCUGGUUUGAAAUGGUGUCUGCUA